GCGCUCACACACUUAAAAAAUAAGGGUUUUAAAACAAAACCGCUAUGAACCUUUUUAAGAAAACUAAGUGCAGUCAGCUGGUUUUCUUUGUUCACGAAGCGGAGUUCUCGAAGUCGAUAGAAGCCAAGCAGUGAAACGCCGUUCUCCUUAAAUAGCCCCAUUGGGGGAUGGGACGGAAGAAGCCACACCCGCUCCCUUGUUCACUUCACACUCGUCAUCCGCCACUGCCUGCUCUCCGCCCCCCGCGCGUCGAGGCUCCUGUUCCUUGGAGUCUGAGUUUUAGAAGAGAAAGGAUCGAGAAUACCGUGGCUUUUCUCUUUUUGGGGGCUUUUUCUAGACAUCAAAGGAGUUCUGAACUGAGUCAUUAUGCUGUGAUCUCAGCCAGUGCCUCAUGACAGGUCAGUAGUAAAGAAACUAAAUGCUUUUACAAGAAAAAUAACCAUCUAAUUGUGAUUCUGAUUUCUUGUUAAUUGAGGAGCUACCCACAUCUUUGUCAUAAGUCAUCACUUCUGGUAAGCUGAUGACUUGGAGAUCAGUAAGGCUUUUGAUACAAGAACUCAUUAAAAGCCAAGAGUUCGUCUCAGGGAAAAAAAGACUAUCUGGAUUCCAAAGGCUUAGUAAAUCAUGGACUUGAAAUAAGCACUCAGCCUUACAAUCUUGUCUUCAGUUGACUUCCUAGUACUAAAAAUCCUCAACCUAUUAACCUUGCAGGAGACUCUACAAUUUUAAUUUUUUAAUUGCAUUUGACUUAAUUGCGAUUAAUCAUUUUGCAUACUUACACCUACAGUUGAGUUGCUUUUGUCAGGCUCAACUUGACAUGACUGUUAUAUGGAUGUGAGUCAAUAAUUCCUUUGAAUAUGAUUACUGCAUGACAAAAAUAAGGACUGUUAGAGGCUCAGUUUUGAACUUCUCACAAUAUCAACAGAGUAAUAGUUUACCUCACUGACCCAAAUUCUUGUAGCAGUCAGUCUGGCUCCUCUUCCUGCUGUGUCACUGCGACAUCUGACAUACCUGAUUUUUAAAAGUUCCCAUAGAAAACUAUUUACAAAAUGCCUUGCAAUCUAACCAGUACAUGAAGUAAAUGUCAAAGUUAUCACAGAAAAUAUUAAAACAUUAAUCAAGUACAAACAAAAUUUUCCAGCUACAAAGUAACAUAUUUUCAAUGCUACAAUAUUUAAGGUGGUAUCUUUUCACACCUGUGAAAGUGUAUAGAGCAGAUAAAUUUGCAAUCGUGAAUGUACUGACAGAUCAUUGCAAGAUCUCAUUUUAUUUUCUGGCAUUUCACAUCCUGUCAGCUCUCUAAGAGAUUAAAAUGUAAUGUUAUGUGCACAAGUUGUUUUUAAAGUCUCUCUCAGAUUGUUUUAAUAGUUCAAGUCAGUGAUGCUUUGUCAUUUA
rnacentral:lncRNA from 1 species